GAUGAAGAACGUAGCGAAAUGCGAUAAGUAAUGUGAAUUGCAGAAUUCAGUGAAUCAUCGAAUCUUUGAACGCACAUUGCGCCCCCUGGUAUUCCGGGGGGCAUGCCUGUUCGAGCGUCAUUUCACCACUCAAGCCUCGCUUGGUAUUGGGCAACGCGGUCCGCCGCGUACCUCAAAUCGACCGGCUGGGUCUUCUGUCCCCUAAGCGUUGUGGAAACUUUCGCUAAAGGGUGUUCGGGAGGCUACGCCGUAAAACAACCCCAUUUCUAAGGUUGACCUCGGAUCAGGUAGGGAUACCCGCUGAACUUAAGCAUAUCAAUAAGCGGAGGA
rnacentral:misc_RNA from 1 species